rnacentral:lncRNA from 1 species
CAGAAAUUGAAGGGACGGGGAAUGACUCUGGGAGAGUGGUGUCAUGGCUAAUGGGGCUCGAAAGAGUGAUGCCAUAACAAAUCUGGGGUCGGUUGAGCUGGAUUCGGGCGGGUUGGAGUCGGGCAGCAUUCGGACGGCUGCGAGUCGGGCAGGUGGGAUUCAUGGAGGGGAGGGUGCGGGCAAAUAAGAUUCGGGCGGAUAGGAGUUCGAGCGGGCGUAUUCGGGCGGGUGAGGUUCGAGCAAUUGGGAAUCGGGCAAACGGGUUCGGGAAAUUGGGAAUCGAGCAAAUAGGUAUCAGGCAAAUGGGAUUCGUGCAAGUGGGAAUCAGGCAUGUAAGAUUCGAGCAACUGGGGAUCGGGCAAGUGACAUUCGGGCAAGCGUGGCGUAACCCAAAUUAGUCAAG